GAUCCAUUAGCUAGCACUAUUGCCCCUGGGAUUAAAUCCAGCCUGCUGUGUUUCUGUGUGGAGUUUUUAAUGUUCUCUCUGUGCUCUGUGCAGUUGGGGUUGGGGUUAGGGUCGUGACACAGACAUACUGUGGAAGAGAGCCAGAGAUGAAUAAUAGCUGCUGAUUAAAUGCAGAUGCAGUGUAUAUAACUUGUAUAUGCUAUAGAUAAUAAUGUUAUUUUAAAAUAUCUUCAAGUACCAAAUCAUCUAGCCUGUGACCAUCCUUACCAACUGCGAAUACAAAAAUUCCGAAACAAAUUUCCCUUGCUUAAUGUGUACAGAUGUGGUUUGUGGUGAAUCCAUGUCCCAGUUCCUCUAAAGUCCGGUCUGAACCUGCAGGAUGAGCUUUAGAAAGCCAAGCUUGCAACUAAGGAGAAGUUGUAGGUGCUUCAAAAGAAUUUUUCUGUUUCACUUUACAGGCUGCCGGUCUAACAUAAGGCUGACACACAGAGACUUUGCAACCACACACUGUACAGUAAUUGUUUCUCUAAUGGGGAAUUCACUGGUUAGGACAGGCCCCAUGAAUAAUGUGUUUACUCAUGUAUUUAUAGAUCGUGUUCAGACUCAUAUUAAGCUGGUGUGAGAACGCUUUGUUUUCUGCAUUGCUGUCUCAUUAAAAUGGGCGUAGGAGAGUUCAGUUACAAGAUUUCUAUCUCAACUCUAACGGUGGCGUUUCUGCUCAUUUUCAUCAUCAGGCUUGCUCAAGGACAUUUUCAUUUAUUUUGCACACCUCAUCCAGUCAAGGCUACUUCAGGUGAUGAUGUCAUCCUGCCGCGUCACGUGGAGCCAAAGUUAAAUGUGGCAGGGCUGACGGUGGAGUGGUCGAGGCCUGACCUCCACCCUGACCCCAAAAAUUGCCUGAGCCUAAAUGAAUAUAUUCAUCUUUACCGGCACAAUUGUGAGGUGACUGACAUGAAGCUCCCAUCGUACAUCGGGAGGACUGCGUUGUUCACAGACGGCCUGAGAGAAGGAAACAUCUCACUAAGAAUCACUAAUGUGACACAAGAAGAUGAAGGAAGAUACAGAUGUUUCAUCCCAAAGUUAAAGAGUCAAAGUUUUCAGUUGUUCAUCUUAUUGUUGGUGGUUUGUCUGAUCGCAGCAGCUGGAUCCUACUUGUAGUGUUCUGUGUGUUUAUUCUCCUCUGCGCUGCAGUCCAAGGACGCUGGUUUACUGAGUGAAAGCAUUAAAAAUCAGAAGUCAAAAAACUACUACCACUCUUGGAGCUUUGCUGAAGGGAGGGCGAAAGUUGAUCCCACAUCUGUGUCAUUCAUUUAAGGAUUCCAAGGAUCAGCUCCUCCAGCAGGGAAGGUUUCAUUGUAUGUACGGAAACAGACUGUCACUUACAAAAAGCUGUUUGGAUCUGAAUUCACUCUGAUGAAGGAAUGGUCAGGUGACACCCAACAAAAGGAGUGAUAGACAAUUUCAGUGAUAUGGUGUUUCCUGGCACCUGAUCAGGACAAAGGUCAUUCUGUAUCAACUUUACUUUUGACACCUGUAAGAUAAGAAUAAUAGUGAAGAAGGGGGCAGAAAACAGGUUUCAAAGUGCAAACAGGUGGAGCAGCCUGUGAUGUUUGUGUAAGAUAUUCCAUUCAUGGUAAGCUUUGGUGUUUUUUUCUUUCACAUUUGCAGAGGUCAUUAUUUGUCUGUUGCUAUUUCAUUAAUGGAGUGGCAACAACAUCUACAUAUAUAUCAUAAUCGAGCCUGGGGUUAUCAAGGGGGCACUGAAUUCAAUUCAAUUCAAUUUUAUUUAUUUAGCGACAAAUUAAAAGACAUUAGUUUCAGCAUCACUUUGAGACAGGAUGUUUCUAGUUUUAGAGAUAUUGUCCAAAUGCAAGAAAUACGUAUUCGUUUAAUAUGUGCAUUGAGGUGCAUAUCCUGGUCAAAAAUGACACAGUGAGUCCAUUUAAUCUCAUAUAUAUAAAUCUUAAAGAAAAGAAAAGAAAAGAAAAGAAAAGAAAAGAAAAGAAAAGAAAAC